rnacentral:rRNA from 1 species
AGAGUUUGAUCCUGGCUCAGGAUGAACGCUAGCUACAGGCUUAACACAUGCAAGUCGAGGGGCAGCAUGGUCUUAGCUUGCUAAGGCCGAUGGCGACCGGCGCACGGGUGAGUAACACGUAUCCAACCUGCCGUCUACUCUUGGACAGCCUUCUGAAAGGAAGAUUAAUACAAGAUGGCAUCAUGAGUCCACAUGUUCACAUGAUUAAAGGUAUUCCGGUAGACGAUGGGGAUGCGUUCCAUUAGAUAGUAGGCGGGGUAACGGCCCACCUAGUCUUCGAUGGAUAGGGGUUCUGAGAGGAAGGUCCCCCACAUUGGAACUGAGACACGGUCCAAACUCCUACGGGAGGCAGCAGUGAGGAAUAUUGGUCAAUGGGCGAGAGCCUGAACCAGCCAAGUAGCGUGAAGGAUGACUGCCCUAUGGGUUGUAAACUUCUUUUAUAAAGGAAUAAAGUCGGGUAUGGAUACCCGUUUGCAUGUACUUUAUGAAUAAGGAUCGGCUAACUCCGUGCCAGCAGCCGCGGUAAUACGGAGGAUCCGAGCGUUAUCCGGAUUUAUUGGGUUUAAAGGGAGCGUAGAUGGAUGUUUAAGUCAGUUGUGAAAGUUUGCGGCUCAACCGUAAAAUUGCAGUUGAUACUGGAUAUCUUGAGUGCAGUUGAGGCAGGCGGAAUUCGUGGUGUAGCGGUGAAAUGCUUAGAUAUCACGAAGAACUCCGAUUGCGAAGGCAGCCUGCUGGACUGUAACUGACGCUGAUGCUCGAAAGUGUGGGUAUCAAACAGGAUUAGAUACCCUGGUAGUCCACACAGUAAACGAUGAAUACUCGCUGUUUGCGAUAUACAGUAAGCGGCCAAGCGAAAGCAUUAAGUAUUCCACCUGGGGAGUACGCCGGCAACGGUGAAACUCAAAGGAAUUGACGGGGGCCC